AUUGAACGCUGGCGGCAUGCCUUACACAUGCAAGUCGAACGGCAGCACGGGUGCUUGCACCUGGUGGCGAGUGGCGAACGGGUGAGUAAUACAUCGGAACGUACCUUAUCGUGGGGGAUAACGCAGCGAAAGUUGCGCUAAUACCGCAUACGCCCUGAGGGGGAAAGCGGGGGACCGUAAGGCCUCGCGCGAUUAGAGCGGCCGAUGUCUGAUUAGCUUGUUGGUGAGGUAAAAGCUCACCAAGGCGAUGAUCAGUAGCUGGUCUGAGAGGACGAUCAGCCACACUGGGACUGAGACACGGCCCAGACUCCUACGGGAGGCAGCAGUGGGGAAGUUUGGACAAUGGGGGCAACCCUGAUCCAGCAAUGCCGCGUGAGUGAAGAAGGCCUGCGGGUUGUAAAGCUCUUUUGUCAGGGAAGAAACAGCAGCUCUAACACAGUCUGCGAAUGACGGUACCUGAAGAAUAAGCACCGGCUAACUACGUG
rnacentral:rRNA from 1 species